rnacentral:rRNA from 1 species
UCCUGAUCAACGUUAAUCGGAUCAGGGUUAGCCCGGUCCUUAGUCAAACCCGAAAGGGGUAGAUGAUGGAAAGCAGGUUAAUAUUCCUGCGCCUGCUAUACACUAAAAGUGACGGAGAAUGCUAGUCAUAUAAGCUGACGGAAUAGCUGAGUGGAUCCUUCGGGUGAAGCGUAAUGAUGAAAGUUCUUCCAAGAAAAGCGAGUAUAGCAGCCGGUACCGCAAACCGACACAGGUAGACGGGAUGAAUAUUCUAAGGCGCUCGGGUGAGCCGUGGAGAAGGAACUAGGCAAAUUGACGCUGUAACUUCGGGAUAAAGCGUACCAUCUUCGGAUGGUCUCAGUAAAUUGGUUCAACCAACUGUUUAACAAAAACACAGGGCCCUGCAAAAUCGAAAGAUGACGUAUAGAGCCUGAUACCUGCCCGGUGCUGGAAGGUUAAGGAAGGAUGUUCGGCGCAAGCCAAAGCUUCUGACUGAAGCCCCAGUAAACGGCGGCCGUAACUAUAACGGUCCUAAGGUAGCGAAAUUCCUUGUCGGGUAAGUUCCGACCUGCACGAAUGGUCCAAUGAGUUGAACACUGUCUCCUCCACGAGCCCGGUGAAAUUGUAGUAUCGGUGAAGAUGCCGGUUACCCGCCACGGGACGGAAAGACCCCGUGAGCCUUCACUAUAGCUUUGCAUUGAUUUUGAAUUACGGAUGUGUAGAAUAGUUGGGACGCUUUGAAGCCUUGCCGCCAGGUAGGGUGGAGCGGUCGUUGAAAUACCAACCUUCUUUGAUUUAGGAUCUAAUCCCUUGCGGGAAACAGUGCAUGGUGGGUAGUUUGACUGGGGUGGUCGCCUCCUAAAGAGUAACGGAGGCUUGCAAAGGUACCCUCAGUACGGUUGGUAAUCGUACGAAGAGCGCAUUAGUAUAAGGGUGCUUGACUGUGAGGCACACAAGCCGAGCAGGGACGAAAGUCGGCUAAAGUGAUCCGGCGGUUCUGUAUGGAAGGGCCGUCGCUCAAAGGAUAAAAGGUACUCCGGAUAACAGGCUGAUCUCCCCCAAGAGCUCAUAUCGACGGGGAGGUUUGGCACCUCGAUGUCGGUUCGUCACAUCCUGGGGCUGGAGAAGGUCCCAAGGGUUCGGCUGUUCGCCGAUUAAAGUGGCACGUGAACUGGGUUCAGAACGUCGCAAGACAGUUCGGUCCCUAUCUGUGGUGGGCGCAAGUAAAUUGAGAGGACAUGACCUUAGUACGAGAGGACCGGGUCGUACGUACCGCUGGUGUAUCAGUUGUGCCGCCAGGUGCAAUGCUGAGUAGCUAUGUACGGACAGGAUAAACGCUGAAAGCAUCUAAGCGUGAAACCUUCCUCAAGAUGAGUUUACUUUUAAGGGCCGUCAGAGACUAUGACGUUGGUAGGCUACAGGUGUAAAGGUGGUAACAUCAAAGCCGAGUAGUACUAAUUGCCCGUACGCUUUAA